GACGACCGGCCGGACACGCCAGCAGUACGCGAGCCCGGCCCACAAGUGGAGGCUCCGAUCUCCCACCUGACCGUCCCCCGGGACAGCAGGUCACCCGGUCAGGCGGCAUCCAUCGUUCCGUACGGACGAUGGAGUCGCCCGAAAGCGCGCCCCGCGGUAUCGCGGCGGUGCUCCGGUUGUCUUGGAGCCCCGCACGUGACCGUCCGGGGCAUUUUUC
rnacentral:ncRNA from 1 species